rnacentral:lncRNA from 1 species
AUGGAGAUUUUGGUUCUACAAGAUCCAGAGGAUGUGGCUACAGCACACUGCAGCUCCUCAUCACACUCCAUCACUGAACUACAGAAGCAUGGGGCACCAAAGGCACCCUACCCAUCCUGUAGAGGAAUACACACGUGCAUAAUCUCACAAUGCCGUCUGAAAAUGGAACAAAAAGAAGCAGCUCUGCCGUUACCUUUACAUACAGGCUGUCUGGGACGCUUCACCGUGGUGGAGCAGCAGGUAGCUGCCUUCCUUCCCAGGAUCCUGGCUUCUUCCCAGGGCAAACCUAUUUCGUGGCUUAUGGUUCUGAAUCCAAAUCAUUUCGAUUUGUUGCUGAUUCUGUUUGAAGACACUGUUUUCCAUCAGCAUGUCUUAAUAUACUAAACGUGUCCCCUAAGCCCGUCCUUGAAGCUUGGUGCUACGAUUCCCUGGUACAACUUUAUGGUUUGGAAGACUUGUGUACACGCACGUUUGCAACGUGGCAGAGUCCCCUACAACAACCAGGAGCUACAGUUGUAAUUUCAGUGCAUAUUUAAAACCUGAAGCGGGACAGAAGUCACACAACUGGAAAUAAAAUAGCUUGCUAAUGGUGAUUCCA